rnacentral:rRNA from 1 species
UACAGAGGGGGCAAGCGUUGUUCGGAAUUACUGGGCGUAAAGGGCGCGUAGGCGGCCUGCUAAGUCGAACGUGAAAUCCCCGAGCUCAACUCGGGAACUGCGUCCGAUACUGGCAGGCUUGAAUCCGGGAGAGGGAUGCGGAAUUCCAGGUGUAGCGGUGAAAUGCGUAGAUAUCUGGAGGAAUACCGGUGGCGAAGGCGGCAUCCUGGACCGGCAUUGACGCUGAGUGAGCGAAAGCCAGGGGAGCAAACGGG